rnacentral:tRNA from 2 species
UCCGCAUUAGUGUAGGGGUUAACAUACUCCGCUUUCAACAGAUAGUGCCGGAGAGCCCCGGGUUCGAUUCCCGGAUGCGGAA